GCCAAGGAUGGACGGGUGAUAUCGACACCCGGACCGUGAAAAAAGUUUAUAUAUGUUUUUGUGCAACGUGUAUGUGGCCGUUUCUUUCUGUUUUUUUGCUGUUUGCUGUUGUACGGAGGACUAAGUUAGCAUUCACAAAUUUAUAAAUCAAAUGUACAUUCCUAAGAUGCACUUUUUUACACCUCUAUGUAGCGGUACUUUUUUAGUAUUUGACCAUUAGCUCCGAUGAUGACGUUUAUGUCGAAAGCGCUCAGCUAAGGAAAUAAAAUUAUUUACACACUUUGACAUACUACAUUUUCAUUUUCCCUUAUUCAUUCAAGUGUGUACAAACUUAUCAGUCUUUCAACUAAAAAAGAUGAUGUAUUUAUUCCUAACCUUGCAUAGUAGGUAUACUCGUAUAUAAAUAAAGAACGGACGUUGAAAACAUACGAGAAAUAGCACAUUCACAAAACGAGGGUGAUUCAAUGCAUGUCCUUAUGGAAAAACAGAAAAAACAUUGAGUCGUAUAUGCUCCACACCAAUGGAUAACCACGAUACGAUAUGCCAAAGCCUCAGGCAAGCCUAAAUCCGUAAAUGAAAUAAAUCAGAAGCAAAUUCUAAAUUUUAACCCAUUUAAGGGCACACAUGUUAAUUUUAAAGUAGAUAUUAAUAGUAAAAGAGUAAAGUAAUAAAGUAAAAUGGUUUAAAAUUAAAUAUUUACAGAUACGCAAUAAAAAUGCGAAAAAUUUGAUAUAUUUUAUACCAUGACUUUUUCAUAGUGAUAGAAGUUGUGUUGAAUAUUACUGUUAUUGUAAAAUU